UUCGAAGCAACGCGAAGAACCUUACCAGGGCUUGACAUGCCGCUGACCGGUGCAGAGAUGCAUCUUUAUCCUUCGGGGUACAGCGGACACAGGUGGUGCAUGGUUGUCGUCAGCUCGUGUCGUGAGAUGUUGGGUUAAGUCCCGCAACGAGCGCAACCCUUGUCUUUAGUUGCCAUCAUUAAGUUGGGCACUCUAAAGAGACUGCCGAUGACAAAUCGGAGGAAGGUGGGGAUGACGUCAAAUCAUCAUGCCCUUUAUGUCCUGGGCUACACACGUGCUACAAUGGUCGGUACAACGAGAAGCAAGCCAGCGAUGGCAAGCAAAUCUCUAAAAGCCGAUCCCAGUUCGGAUUGCAGGCUGCAACUCGCCUGCAUGAAGUCGGAGUUGCUAGUAAUCGCGGAUCAGAAUGCCGCGGUGAAUGCGUUCCCGGGUCUUGU
rnacentral:rRNA from 2 species